rnacentral:miRNA from 1 species
UAGAGGGAUCUGAGGAGGACA